rnacentral:lncRNA from 1 species
CUAUUACUAAAGGAGAGCUUGACUCUUAUCCAGGGUUUGUUUAUCUUACACUUGCCACAGAGAAAAAACGAUCACCUCUGAAAACACAGCUUUGAGACCCCAAAUAUAUAAAACUUAUGACAGUGCUAUAUCUCUUUCUAUUUCAUAUUUGUAUUCUUUUUAAAGAAGGUUUUAAGCUCAUAAUUUUCUAAGCACGAGUAUCCUGGUGUAACCUAUUAAGGCAAGGUAAUUAAAUUAAUAAAGCUAUGCUAUAAUAGGUAAAACUUUGGGAUGUUCAGAUGGGAAAUAGAAUGCAUUGAUCAUUGAUGCUUCAACCAUACUGUUAUUAUCUUCUGUUUCUAGAUACUCUUCUAAUGACAUUUAUCAAACAUGAAACCUAUCCUUUCUCUGAGUAUUACCUAAUCCCUCAGGAAAUGAGUGGUACUUUGUUUUGGCUUUUUAUUAUUUUAGAUUUGGUGUUUUCCCUGGUUUUCAUUUUCUGAAUGUGAACAGAGAUUGACUCCAAAAGGAUUUUUUACUAGUUCAAUUUUUAGUUUAUAAUAUGAGGGCCAUGAACUAACUAACAAAUGUCUAUGGGAGUUACCAUUGUGGCUCAGAGAAAAUAAACCUGACUAGUACCCAUGAGGACAUGGGUUCAAUCCCUGGCCUUGCUUAGUGGCCAUCAGCUGUGGUGUAGGUCAUAGACGUGGCUCAGAUCCCGUGUUGCUGUGACGGUGGGUAGGCUGGAAGCUACAGCUCCAAUUCAACCCCUAGCCUAGGAAUUUCCAUAUGUUGUGGGUGUGGCCCACAAAAAAAAAAAAAAAAUUCCCUUCAUUAGAGAGUUAUCAAGAGCCCUUUGCCCCAAUGGGCACUUUUUUUUUUUUUUUUAAGCAUUAUUUCACUAAAUUUUUACCAAAUUCUGAGACCAAAGCACACUGGUACCUAAGAACUGAGGAGGAAAAUUGAGAAAAUGAUAACUAAUACCAGGUUAUCAUUUCUGGAAUGAUCUUUAUCCUAAAGGUCCAGGAAUCAUAUGCUGUUUCUUGCUAUUCGUUCUCAGAGGAAGUCAUAUUAGAGUUGCUUUCUGUCAGAUGAUCGUGUUUCCAGCUCAACCUAAAAUUCUGAAGGGAGUGAGACCUAAGGUCAAGAUCACCACAGUUUUGGGGAGUUCCUGUCGUGGUGCAGCAGAAAUGAAUCUGACUAGGAACCAUGAGGUUUCGGGUUCUAUCUCUGGCCUCAAUCAGUGGGUUGAGGAUCCAGCGUGUUGCCCUGAGCUGUGGUGUUGGUCGCAGACAUGGCUUGGAUCUGGUGUGGCUGUGGCUGUAGGCCGGCAGCUGUAGCUCUGAUUGGACCCCUCGCUUGGGAACCUCCAUAUGCCACGGUGUAACCCUAAAAAGACAAAAAUAAAAUUUAAAAAAUGAAUUAAAUUAAAAAAAUAAAAAUAGUGUGAUAGUGUGACCCGUCUAAGGUAGGAAUGUAAGGUUGAUAAAAGAAGAUUUUUGAGGAUUGUUUCUUCUCCUGCCAUUUGUACAUCUAAGCUCAUUGAAGAGGUUUUCACUGUAUAUGUAGUUGAGGGAUGGGCAGAUGCCUUUGAGCGGAGAAAGAUGUAGAGAGUUGGGAAUAGACAAAGAGAUUUUUCUAAGUGAAAGGAAAGGAUAGCGGUUUCUGAGAUCUAUGACGCUUUGAGUUUCAAGAGCCACUUUCUCCUAACACAAUGUAGUGGUUGAUUUCCAAGACAAUACCUAAACUGAACUCUAGGCAUUGGAACUCCAGCCCUGGAAACGUCUAUUCUGCCUGUUAUGGGAGCUUCUAGAUUCUGAUGACUAUGUGGGCAUAGAUAGUGGUCUUCCUAGGGUAACUAGGGCAGAUCCAAAUGUUUGCCUGUGUCUAAGAUCUCUGAAAGAUUUGAUAAUCAGGAGGGAGGGAGCUCCAGUAAUUGCCAGGGUUGAAUUAUACACCAAUAUGGAUAAGAGCUUAGAGUUGAAUUUAAUUGCUCUAAAGAAAACAAGGAUUUGAAGUGAGACUUGAACCUGCAAGACCAGUUAAACUUCAGAAUGCAACCCAGCAACACUCGGAAAUGUAAUUAGCAUCUUUGACCUCAUGAAACUCACAUUUGAUGAUUUAACAGCAUCUAACUUAACAUCUUCUAAUGGUGCAAUGGGUUUAAGUCAAAUGCCAAAAUGAGUACAGAGUAUAAGAAUUUUAAAUUUCAAAGCAAAACACACAUUUGAGCAUGACAUGGGAGGAGGCUACAGAGAAAAUAAGAGACUUCUCUUGGGCCAUAAACAGUGAGUAGCUCUGGAUAAUAGAGAAGAAAGGGGAACGUUUCCAAGCAGUGAAACAGCAUGAGCAAGACUGUGGGGCGGCGGUGGGGCGGGGGAGUAGUUUUCAGAUCAUUCUGGCUAGUAGAUCAGAAUGAAAGGAUAGGGAAGUAGGUUCACUACAGAAACUGUUAGGACUUAAUGUCAGACUUCAGGUACACCGCACUCCCCAUGUAAGACUCCAUGUUACACCACACUCCCCAAAUCUACCUUAAACGGGAGACCUAUACAGGUCAGCAUGCAAACAAAUUAAAUGAAUGAGCUAACAGUCAAAAUUCAUAUUUAUACUUUGCUUUACAGACCAAAUCUAUAUAAGUAUAGAUAUAAUUUAUAAAGGAAAUCUGAUGUGCUAGGUUUUAUACUAGGUGACUUACAUAUAUUAUGUCUAAUCCUCAUUAUAAACAGGCAUAGGAGGUAUUAGUGUCUCCAUUUUACAUGAGAAAACAGGGACUAAACAAGAUUGAAUGGCUUGCUUUAAAUCAAAUAGACUAAAAGUGUUAAGCUAGGAGCUGUGAAUCAUGGUCAGAGUCAUCCCUGGCAAAAGCCUGUACAUUUUAUUUUAACUGUACCACAUUUUCUCUAACAUUAAGACAUUUUUAGAACAUACUGGAAUUCAAUAGAUGGAUUAUUGUAUUCUGGGAUAACAAAAUAACUAAAAUAAUUGAAAGUAAAUAAAUAAGACAAUUAUUUAUCUUCUUCCAUGUUUCAGAAAUUUUAAGAAUAGGGUGAAAUUAGGCUCUCUCUUCAUUUACAGCAGUGCCCUACAAUCAGUUGGAAGAUGUUAAUUUUUUUUAAAAAAUGUAUUAUAAUUGAUUUACAAUGUGUCUUCAAUUUCUGUUGUACAGGAAAGUGACCUAAUCACACAUAGUUCCUUGUGCUGUGCAGUAGGGCCCCAUUGCCCAUCCAUUCCAAAUGUAACGGUUUGCAUCCAAAAAUUCCAAACUGCCCAUUCAUUCCACUCCCUCCACCCUCCGUCUUGGGAACCACAAGUCUGCUUUCCUUGGCUAUGAUCUGGUUCUGUUUUGUAGAUAGGAUCAUUUGUGCUAUAUCUUAGAUUCCACAAAUAAGUGAUAUCAUAUGGUAUUUGUCUUUUUCUUUCUGACUUAUUUUGCUUAGUAUGAGAAUCUCUAGUGUCAUCCUUGUUGUUGCAAAUGGCUUUAGUUUUCCUUUUUUAUAGCUGAGUAGUAUUCUGUUGUAUAUAUGUACUACUUUUUCUUAAUCUAUUCAUCAAUCAAUGGAUAUUUAGGUUGUUUGAAUGUCUUGGCUAGUAUGAAUAGCUCUGUGAUGAACAUAGGGGUGCAUGUAUCUUUUUUUUAAUGAUUUAAAAUUUUUUUUUCUAUUAUAGUUGGUUUACAGUGCUCUAUCAGUUUCUACUAUAUAGCAAAGUGACCCAGUCUCAAAUGUAUAUACAUUAUUUUUCUCACAUUAUUCUCCACCAAGUUUCAUCAUAAGUGACUAGAUAUAGUUCCCUGUGCUAUACAGCAGUAUCCAUUUCAAAUGCAAUAGCUUGCAUCUAUUAACCACAGACUCCCAGUCCACCCCACUCCCUCCCACACCACCUUGGCAAACACAAGUCUCUUCUCCAAGACCAUGAGUUUCUUUUCUAUGAAAAAUCCAUUUGUGCCAUAUAUGAAAUUCCAGAUAUGUGAUAUCAUAUGGUAUUUGUCUUUCCCUUUCUGACGUACCUCACUUAGUAUGAGAGUCUGUAGUUCCAUCCAUGUUGCUGCAAAUGGCAUUAUUUUGUUCUUUUUUAUGGCUGAGUAGAAUUCCAUUGUGUAUAUAUACCACAUCUUCCUAAUCUAAUCAUCUGCCAAUGGACAUUUAGGUUGUUUCCAUGUCUUAGCUAUUGUGACUAGUGCAUCAGUGAACAUAUGGGUGCAUGUGUCUAUUUCAAGGAAAGUUGUGUCCAGAUAUAUGCCCAGGAGUGGGAUUGCUGAGUUCUAUAUUUAGUUUUCUGAGUCAACGCCAUACUGUUUUCCAUAGUGGUUGUACCAAUUUACAUUCCAGUGUAGGAAGGUUCCCUUUUCUCCACACCCUCUCAUGCAUUUGCUAUUUGUUGACUUGUUAAUGAUGGCCAUUCUGACCGGUAUGAGGUGGUACCUCAUAGUAGUUUUGAUUUGCAUUUCUCAGAUAAUUAGUGAUGUUGAGCAUUUAUUCAUGUACUUGUUGGCCAUCUGUAUAUCUUCUUUGGAGAAAUGUCUAUUCAUGUCUUGCCCAUUGUUUAGUUGGGUUGUUGGGUUUUUUUUUGCUGUUAAGUUGUUUAAGUUGUUCGCAUAUUUUAGAGAUUAAGCCUUUGUCUUUUGAAACUAUUUUCUCCCAUUCUGUAAGUUGUCUUUUUAUUUUUUUUUAUGGUUUCCUUUGCUAUGCAAACGCUUGUCAGUUUGAUUAGUCCCAUUAGUUUAUUUUUGCUUUUAUUUCUGUUGUCUUGGUAGUCUGACCUAAGAAAACAUUUGUACAGUUGAUGUCAGAAAAUGUUUUGCCUAUGUUCUCUUCUAAGAGUUUAAUGGUGUCUUGUCUUACGUUUAAGUCUUUAAGCCAUUUUGAGUUAAUUGUUUUUGAGGGUUUUUUUCUCCAUUUUUAUUUUAUAUUUAUUUUUAUUUUUAUCAUAUAUUUAUAUAUAUUUUUUUUCUACCAUGCAGCAUGGUGAGCCGGUUACACUUAACAUGUAUACAUUCUUUUUUCUCACAUUUCAUGUUCCUUCAUAAGUGACUAGAGAGUUCCUAGUGCUACACAGCAGGAUCCCAUUGCUCAUCCAUCCCGAAGGCCACAUUCUGCAUCUAUUUACCCCAAGCUCCCAGUCCCUCCCACUCCCUCCUCUUCCCCCUUGGCAACCACAAGUCUAUUCUGCAAGUCCAUGCUUUUCUUUUCUGUGAAAAAGCUUGUAUAUAUAUAUAUAUAUAUAGGCCUAAUAUAGGAACACCCAGAUACCUAAAACAAAUACUAACAGACAUAAAAGGAGAAAUUGAUGGGAAUACAAUCAUAGAAGGAGACUUUAACACCCCACUCACAUUGAUGGACAGAUCCUCUAGACAGAAAAUCAACAAAGCAGCAGAAAUUCUAAAGGAAACAACAGAAAAGUUAGACUUAACAUUUUCAGGACAUUACAUCCAAAAAAAUAAAAAUAUUCCUUCUUUUCAAGUGCACAUGGAACAUUCUCAAGAAUUGAUCACAUAUUGGGGCACAAAGUUAACCUCAAAAAAUUUAAGAGUACAGAAAUCAUUUCAAGUAUCUUCUCAGACCACAAAGGCAUGAAACUAGAAAUCAAACACAGGAAAAGAAGUAAGGAAAAACUGAGCACAUGGAGACUAAACAACAUGCUACUAAAAAACCAAUGGGUCAAUGAGGAAAUCAAGAAGGAAAUUAAAAAAUACCUUGAGACAAAUGAUAAUGAAGACACAACCACUCAAAAUCUAUGGGAUGCUGCAAAAGCAGUGCUCAGAGGGAAGUUCAUAGCAAUACGGCCUUCCUCAAAAAAGAAGAAAAAUCUCAAAUCGACAACUUAACCCACUACGUAUAUGAAUUAGAAAAAGAAGAACAAGCAAAACCUAAAGUCAACAGACAGAUGGAAAUCAUAAAGAUCAAAGAGGAAAUCAAUAAAAUAGAGAUUCAAAAAACAGUUGACAAAAAUCAGUCAAACCAAGAGCCGGUUCUUUGAAAAGGUAAACAAAAUAGACAAACCUCUGGCUGGACUCACCAAGAAGAGAAGAGAAAAAA